GGUCAUCAUUUCUUUUCUUAGUUUGGUAAUGAAUCUAUGUGUUCAUUUAUGAGAUUAUAGAACAAUUUUUGCUUCUUAUUAUUUGUUCAGACUGGGGUUCAUGUGAUAUUUGUUUUCAUGUAUUUAUCUUAUUAAGUAAUAUGUAGCAUCUGUGUUCUACUUGUACUUGUUUCAUCAUAGAAGCUGCUGAGUUAAUAAAUGAACUUGUGUCAAGUAUGACAAAUAGUCGUUUAUAGCUAUAUAUAUUACUUGGUUACCUCCAUGUCAUCCUCACCAAUGCUUUGCUUACUGAUUAUCGUUACAUGGUCAAAGGAUAUUCCAGGGCUACAUUUAUAUGUAGGUUAGAGGUAGCAAAACGGGCCAGCCGGUGGUACUAAGUAACUAUGUGGUCAUUUAUGAGUUUAUAGAACAUCAUCAUUGGGUUGGACUGGAUCCUGACUCUUAUGGCUUUGAAAAUAAGGAUUUGUGUGUUCAACUCACUGUUCUGUGGGCUGUAUGACAAGGAGAUCGAGACAGUUGAACACAUGUUUUGUUCUUGCGAAGUUGCUAUGGCUGUUUGGUAUAAGAUUUCCCAUUGGUGUAUGUUCUCCCCUAUUUUUCUUUUUCGGUCAAGGAUCUCUUCAAGGUGCACCAACACCCUACAACAAGUGAAAGCUUUUAGUUUUUUUGUGGUAUAAUAAUAGAAGCGAGUAAAGUAGUUUCGCUGUAAUGUAACUCUAUUCUUGUAUACUCUUACCAUUUUGGUGGCUAUUGGCUGUUGUGAAUAAAAGUAAAAAAAUUUUCUAAAAAAAUUA